rnacentral:rRNA from 1 species
CAGUCGCCGCGGUAAUGCGUAGGGUGCAAGCGUUAAUCGGAAUUACUGGGCGUAAAGCGUGCGCAGGCGGUUAUAUAAGUCAGAUGUGAAAUCCCCGGGCUCAACCUGGGAACUGCAUUUGAGACUGUAUGGCUAGAGUGUGUCAGAGGGGGGUAGAAUUCCACAUGUAGCAGUGAAAUGCGUAGAUAUGUGGAGGAAUACCGAUGGCGAAGGCAGCCCCCUGGGAUAACACUGACGCUCAUGCACGGAAGCGUGGGGAGCAAACAGGAUUAGAGACCCCCGUAGUCCCUGUCUCUUAUAC